rnacentral:rRNA from 1 species
AACGAACGCUGGCGGCAGGCCUAACACAUGCAAGUCGAACGCUGUAGCAAUACAGAGUGGCAGACGGGUGAGUAACGCGUGGGAACAUGCCCUUCGGUUCGGAAUAACUCAGGGAAACUUGAGCUAAUACCGGAUACGCCCUUAGGGGGAAAGAUUUAUUGCCGAAGGAUUGGCCCGCGUCCGAUUAGCUAGUUGGUGAGGUAAUGGCUCACCACGGCGACGAUCGGUAGCUGGUCUGAGAGGAUGAUCAGCCACACUGGGACUGGGACACGGCCCAGACUCCUACGGGAGGCAGCAGUGGGGAAUAUUGGACAAUGGGCGCAAGCCUGAUCCAGCCAUGCCGCGUGAGUGAUGAAGGCCCUAGGGUUGUAAAGCUCUUUCGCCAGGGACGAUAAUGACGGUACCUGGAUAAGAAGCCCCGGCUAACUUCGUGCCAGCCGCCGCCGUAAGAC